UGGCUUACUGUGAUCGUUGUCC
rnacentral:miRNA from 1 species